UCAAACUGCAAGGCAGUGGAAAGGAAGGCUGAUGAAACACUAGACUGACCAGUGAUUACUCUCUGAGCUUCAUAAGGUUCCAUGUAGCCAUUGUUCUCUGGGGUCGAAGGAGCCUGGCGGUUUUCUGGCUGCAGAUCCUGGCGAGCGUCGAAGGGGUCUGAGUAGUCUGUGUCGCCAAUCGCUGGGGCUGAGGGGACCACCUAAAGUCAUGCGAGACAAUGUAAUUCUGAGACUGUUCCUGGCACUUAAGUAGAAGUGGGAGCAAACGCAGGGACAGCGUGUGAAUUGAAACGUAAUCUUUGUGG